rnacentral:rRNA from 1 species
UACGAAGGGGGCUAGCGUUGCUCGGAAUCACUGGGCGUAAAGGGUGCGUAGGCGGGUCUUUUAAGUCAGGGGUGAAAUCCUGGAGCUCAACUCCAGAACUGCCUUUGAUACUGAAGAUCUUGAGUUCGGGAGAGGUGAGUGGAACUGCGAGUGUAGAGGUGAAAUUCGUAGAUAUUCGCAAGAACACCAGUGGCGAAGGCGCUCACUGGCCCGGUUCUGACGCUGAGGCGCGAAAAGCGUGGGGGAGCAAACAGG